UACGGAGGUCCCAAGCGUUGUUCGGAUUUACUGGGCGUAAAGGGUGCGUAGGUGGUUGAGAAAGUCUGAUGUGAAAGCCCCGAGCUCAACUCGGGAACUGCAUUGGAUACUACUUGACUUGAGGAUCGGAGGGGAGACUGGAAUUCUCGGUGUAGCAGUGAAAUGCGUAGAUAUCGAGAGGAACACCAGUGGCGAAGGCGAGUCUCUGGACGAUUCCUGACACUGAGGCACGAAAGCUAGGGGAGCAAACAGGAUUAGAUACCCUGGUAGUCCUAGCCGUAAACGGUGCACACUUGCUGUAGGCGGAUUCGACCCCGUCUGUGGCGGAGCAAACGCGUUAAGUGUGCCGCCUGGGGAGUACGGUCGCAAGAUUAAAACUCAAAGAAAUUGACGGGGGCCUGCACAAGCGGUGGAGUAUGUGGCUUAAUUCGAUGCAACGCGAAGAACCUUACCUGGCCUUGACAUGCAUCUCUAAGUGUGUGAAAGCACAUGACCCUUCGGGGAAUUUGCACAGGUGCUGCAUGGCUGUCGUCAGCUCGUGUCGUGAGAUGUUGGGUUAAGUCCCGCAACGAGCGCAACCCUCAUGUCUUGUUGCCACUUCCGCAUCAGCGGAAAGCACUCUAGACAGACUGCCUCGUUUCAACGAGGAGGAAGGUGGGGAUGACGUCAAGUCAGUAUGGCCCUUACGGCCAGGGCUGCACACGUACUACAAUGCCCAGUACAAUGGGAAGCAAUACCGCGAGGUGGAGCAAAUCCUCAAAACUGGGCCCAGUUCAGAUUGUAGUCUGCAACUCGACUACAUGAAGUCGGAAUCGCUAGUAAUGGCGCAUCAGCUACGGCGCCGUGAAUACGUUCCCAGGCCU
rnacentral:rRNA from 1 species